UCUCCUAAGGCUAAAUACUCUCUAGUGACCGAUAGUGAACCAGUACCGUGAGGGAAAGGUGAAAAGUACCCCGGAAGGGGAGUGAAAGAGAACUUGAAACCGUGUGCUUACAAGUAGUCAGAGCCCGUUAAUGGGUGAUGGCGUGCCUUUUGUAGAAUGAACCGGCGAGUUACGAUCUGAUGCAAGGUUAAGCAGAAAAUGUGGAGCCGUAGCGAAAGCGAGUCUGAAUAGGGCGAAUGAGUAUUUGGUCGUAGACCCGAAACCAGGUGAUCUACCCUUGGUCAGGUUGAAGUUCAGGUAACACUGAAUGGAGGACCGAACCGACUUACGUUGAAAAGUGAGCGGAUGAACUGAGGGUAGCGGAGAAAUUCCAAUCGAACUUGGAGAUAGCUGGUUCUCUCCGAAAUAGCUUUAGGGCUAGCCUCAAGUGAUGAUUAUUGGAGGUAGAGCACUGUUUGGACGAGGGGCCCCUCUCGGGUUACCGAAUUCAGACAAACUCCGAAUGCCAAAUAAUUUAACUUGGGAGUCAGAAUGUGGGUGAUAAGGUCCAUAUUCGAAAGGGAAACAGCCCAGACCACCAGCUAAGGUCCCAAAAUAUAUGUUAAGUGGAAAAGGAUGUGGCGUUGCCCAGACAACUAGGAUGUUGGCUUAGAAGCAGCCAUCAUUUAAAGAGUGCGUAAUAGCUCACUAGUCGAGUGACACUGCGCCGAAAAUGUACCGGGGCUAAACAUAU
rnacentral:rRNA from 1 species